rnacentral:ncRNA from 2 species
AUUAAAACAAAGACGAAAAAGAGUAACCUAUUAGGCCGUUUUAACAGGGAGAAUAACCAGUUGACUGGAAGUUAUUCAAACGGGAUUAGGUGAAGUUCACUUUCAGAGUUGACUAAUCAAGUCCGGUGUUGCCCGUUAUGCAAUUUUGAGUGUGCAGUUACCAUAACUGUAAACUAGGGUGGUACCGCGAAGCUUCGUCCCUUUU